AGAGUUUGAUCAUGGCUCAGAACGAACGUUGGCGGCGUGGAUUAGGCAUGCAAGUCGAACGAAUCCCUAGGGGCUUGCUCUUAGGGGAAAGUGGCGAAAGGGGCAGUAAGGCGUGGGUAACCUACCCUGGGGUCUGGCAUAGCCAUCCUAACGGAUGGGUAAUACCGGGCGACGUAACGCGAUCGCUUGACCGUGUUACCAAAGGUUUACCGCCCUGGGAGGGGCCCACGUGGUAUUAGCUUGUUGGCGGGGUGACGGCCCACCAAGGCCAAGAUGCCUAGCGGGUGUGAGAGCACGACCCGCGCCACUGGCACUGAGACACUGGCCAGACUCCUACGGGAGGCUGCAGUCGAGGAUCUUCGGCAAUGGGCGCAAGCCUGACCGAGCGACGCCGCGUGCGCGAUGAAGGCCUUCGGGUUGUAAAGCGCUGUCGAGGGGGAGGAAAGCCCGCAAGGGUCUGACUAAUCCCUGGAGGAAGCACGGGCUAAGUUCGUGCCAGCAGCCGCGGUAAGACGAACCGUGCGAACGUUGUUCGGAUUCACUGGGCUUAAAGGGCGCGUAGGCGGGUCUUCAAGUCCGGGGUGAAAUCCUCUCGCUCAACGAGAGAACUGCCCUGGAUACUGGGGGUCUCGAGGGAGGUAGGGGCAUGUGGAACUUCCGGUGGAGCGGUGAAAUGCGUAGAUAUCGGAAGGAACGCCGGUGGCGAAAGCGACGUGCUGGACCUCUACUGACGCUGAGGCGCGAAAGCCAGGGGAGCGAACGGGAUUAGAUACCCCGGUAGUCCUGGCCCUAAACGAUGGGUACUAGAUUGUAGACUGACAUGGGUUUACAAUCGAAGCAAAAGUGUUAAGUACCCCGCCUGGGGAGUAUGGUCGCAAGGCUGAAACUCAAAGGAAUUGACGGGGGCUCACACAAGCGGUGGAGCAUGUGGCUCAAUUCGAGGCUACGCGAAGAACCUUAUCCUGGGCUUGACAUGUCCGAAA
rnacentral:rRNA from 1 species